rnacentral:tRNA from 1 species
CCUGGUGUCUCAGCUGAUAAAGAGUCUGCCUGCAAUGCAGGAGACCCAGGUUCGAUCCCUGGGUCAGGA